GUAUCGAGUUUAUGACUUGGGUUUAAUCAAGUCUACAUUAACAUUCUAUCAAAGUCAAAUGGUGUGUGAAGAACGUAGACACGAGCGAAAGAAUGACUUCCGCCAGGUCUACCAGAGGUGCACAGGGGAUGAUGAUUUUUCGGAGUGCACAGUGCAAACAACAGUCUGCCAGCACAUCCUGGAGAAUCGAUAAUGAUCCUUCCGCAGGUUCACCUACGGAAA
rnacentral:misc_RNA from 1 species